rnacentral:rRNA from 1 species
UUGAACGCUGGCGGCAGGCCUAACACAUGCAAGUCGAGCGGUAGCACAGAGAGCUUGCUCUCGGGUGACGAGCGGCGGACGGGUGAGUAAUGUCUGGGAAACUGCCUGAUGGAGGGGGAUAACUACUGGAAACGGUAGCUAAUACCGCAUAAUGUCGCAAGACCAAAGUGGGGGACCUUCGGGCCUCAUGCCAUCAGAUGUGCCCAGAUGGGAUUAGCUAGUAGGUGGGGUAACGGCUCACCUAGGCGACGAUCCCUAGCUGGUCUGAGAGGAUGACCAGCCACACUGGAACUGAGACACGGUCCAGACUCCUACGGGAGGCAGCAGUGGGGAAUAUUGCACAAUGGGCGCAAGCCUGAUGCAGCCAUGCCGCGUGUGUGAAGAAGGCCUUCGGGUUGUAAAGCACUUUCAGCGGGGAGGAAGGCGGUGAGGUUAAUAACCUCAUCGAUUGACGUUACCCGCAGAAGAAGCACCGGCUAACUCCGUGCCAGCAGCCGCGGUAAUACGGAGGGUGCAAGCGUUAAUCGGAAUUACUGGGCGUAAAGCGCACGCAGGCGGUCUGUCAAGUCGGAUGUGAAAUCCCCGGGCUCAACCUGGGAACUGCAUUCGAAACUGGCAGGCUAGAGUCUUGUAGAGGGGGGUAGAAUUCCAGGUGUAGCGGUGAAAUGCGUAGAGAUCUGGAGGAAUACCGGUGGCGAAGGCGGCCCCCUGGACAAAGACUGACGCUCAGGUGCGAAAGCGUGGGGAGCAAACAGGAUUAGAUACCCUGGUAGUCCACGCCGUAAACGAUGUCGAUUUGGAGGUUGUGCCCUUGAGGCGUGGCUUCCGGAGCUAACGCGUUAAAUCGACCGCCUGGGGAGUACGGCCGCAAGGUUAAAACUCAAAUGAAUUGACGGGGGCCCGCACAAGCGGUGGAGCAUGUGGUUUAAUUCGAUGCAACGCGAAGAACCUUACCUGGUCUUGACAUCCACAGAACUUUCCAGAGAUGGAUUGGUGCCUUCGGGAACUGUGAGACAGGUGCUGCAUGGCUGUAGUCAGCUCGUGUUGUGAAAUGUUGGGAUAAGUGCCGCAACGAGCGCAACCCUUAUCCUUUGUUGCCAGCGGUUAGGCCGGGAACUCAAAGGAGACUGCCAGUGAUAAACUGGAGGAAGGUGGGGAUGACGUCAAGUCAUCAUGGCCCUUACGACCAGGGCUACACACGUGCUACAAUGGCAUAUACAAAGAGAAGCGACCUCGCGAGAGCAAGCGGACCUCAUAAAGUAUGUCGUAGUCCGGAUUGGAGUCUGCAACUCGACUCCAUGAAGUCGGAAUCGCUAGUAAUCGUAGAUCAGAAUGCUACGGUGAAUACGUUCCCGGGCCUUGUACACACCGCCCGUCACACCAUGGGAGUGGGUUGCAAAAGAAGUAGGUAGCUUAACCUUCGGGAGGGCGCUUACCACUUUGUGAUUCAUGACUGGGGUG